rnacentral:tRNA from 1 species
GGCGCUGUGGCUCAAGUGGUAGAGCGCUUGCCUUGCAUGUAUGAAGCCCUGGGUUCGAUUCCUCAGCAGUUCA